GAUGAACGCUAGCGGCAGGCCUAAUACAUGCAAGUCGAGGGGCAGCGCGGUAGCAAUACUGGCGGCGACCGGCGCACGGGUGCGUAACACGUAUGCAACCUACCUUCAACUGGAGGAUAGCCCGGGGAAACUCGGAUUAAUACUCCAUAACACAGGGAUCCCGCAUGGGAAUAUUGUUAAAGCUACGGCGGUUGAAGAUGGGCAUGCGUUCGAUUAGCUAGUUGGUGUAGGUAACGGCUCACCAAGGCUACGAUCGAUAGGGGGUCUGAGAGGAUGAUCCCCCACACUGGUACUGAGAUACGGACCAGACUCCUACGGGAGGCAGCAGUAGGGAAUAUUGGGUCAAUGGGCGCAAGCCUGAACCAGCCAUGCCGCGUGCAGGAAGAAGGCCCUCUGGGUUGUAAACUGCUUUUGAUAGGGAACAAAUGCCACUUGCGAGUGGAGCUGAGUGUACCUAUAGAAUAAGCACCGGCGUAACUCCGUGCCAGCAGCCG
rnacentral:rRNA from 1 species